AACGCACAUUGCGCCCCUUGGUAUUCCAUGGGGCAUGCCUGUUCGAGCGUCAUUUGUACCCUCAAGCUUUGCUUGGUGUUGGGCGUCUUGUCGGACUAUCCGACUCGCCUUAAAUACAUUGGCAGCCGGCACUUUGGCCUAGGAGCGCAGCACAUUUUGCGAUCGUAAGCCGUUGUGACAGCAUCCAUAAGAUUUAUUUACCACGUUUGACCUCGGAUCAGGUAGGGAUACCCGCUGAACUUAA
rnacentral:misc_RNA from 1 species